AUCCUGCUUAGCACGAAAGGAACAGCAGGUUCAGACAUUUGGUUCAUGGACUUGACGGAGCUGUCAAUGGUCCGAAGCUAUCAUCUCGAGGAUUAUGACUGAACGCCUCUAACAAUAAGUUAGAAACCU
rnacentral:ncRNA from 1 species